UCCUGCCAAAUAAUCUUGGUGGGACAAGUUUGCAUUAAACAUCUCUUCUUCUUCACUGAAUUCUGCGCGCCGCCCUGCUCCUGAGAGUUGCCUUCUCCGAGGGCGCUGAGGAUUUUCUAAUCCCCACAUCCCAUAGUCUCUUCGAGUCCUCUCUAGCGCAUGACGCCAUGACUGUUGUUCUUCCCUCAGCUUGGGAGAAAUCGCCCUCUAACAAGCCACCAGCCGCUCCUUGCUUCACUAGUCGGGCAUGGAAGCGGGAGGACGGCCGGGGACCAGAAGCGGCUGUUACUAGUGAGACUUGUGGGUCUCGGUUCGAGAGGACCCAAGGAUUGGUGGUGAUUGUACCAUCAAAGCAGUUUAUGGAACUAGCGGGUGAAUAGAAUUGAAGCCAGAUCGUCUUGUUCUGCUUCCUUUACAUCACUCUUAAGACGCCUGCCGGGUGCAUAGGAGCUUUGAAAACAGAGCCCACUGAUGUAGAGCAUGCUCUUAAAUUUCAUCAUCCUUAAAUCUAGACCAUUUGUUUUAAAUCUAUUUUAUGAGUGUGUAGAGAGAAAAAAACCCCGAAAGUUCGGAUAGAUCCCAGCUCACCCGGGAUUCCUUAUUCUUCAAUCAAGCUGGACCACAAGCAGUUGGCCGGACCUUGGCAUAGCCCUUUGCACCCAUUGUUUGGCAAUCCUGAGAGAUCAGCCAUACCGGCCCAGGAAGGGUCUAGAACUGGUACAGCAGGAGGGCUCCUGGGCCACUGGGCUCAUGAUGAGGAGGAAGGUGGCCCAGUUCCUGCCUACACCAUGCCUGGCUACGCCGAGCGAUACUGGGACAUCUCAGAAAUAGCUUCCCACCAAGUUUUUAGGAAGAAGAAGAACUAGGACAGGAUUCUGUGGAUCAUUCAGGUCCUCCUAACUCCCUCUUCCUCCAGACCCCACUCACGGUAACCUUGAGAGACCUGGCUUUCAGAAGAAUUGAAGGCAAAAGCCUGGAUCCCGAAGUCCCAGAUUAUAUCUACUAUUAGCAAUUUGGAAUACAUGCACUGAAAUGCAAUGAGAAAAGUGCCUCGAAUACAAACUCAUCUGCUAGACUACAAAUUGAAAAUCUGAUACCUUAUCAACUCAUUCAAG